rnacentral:rRNA from 1 species
AUUGAACGCUGGCGGCAUGCCUUACACAUGCAAGUCGAACGGUAACGCGGGGCAACCUGGCGACGAGUGGCGAACGGGUGAGUAAUGCAUCGGAACAUGCCCAGUAGUGGGGGAUAGCCCGGCGAAAGCCGGAUUAAUACCGCAUACGACCUAAGGGUGAAAGCGGGGGAUCGCAAGACCUCGCGCUAUUGGAGUGGCCGAUGUCAGAUUAGGUAGUUGGUGGGGGAAAGGCCUACCAAGCCGACGAUCUGUAGCUGGUCUGAGAGGACGACCAGCAACACUGGGACUGAGACACGGCCCGGACACCUACGGGAGGCAGCAGUGGGGAAUUUUGGACAAUGGGGGAAACCCUGAUCCAGCCAUGCCGCGUGCGGGAAGAAGGCCUUCGGGUUGUAAACCGCUUUUGUCAGGGAAGAAAUCCUUUGAGCUAAUACCUCGGAGGGAUGACGGUACCUGAAGAAUAAGCACCGGCUAACUACGUGCCAGCAGCCGCCGUAAAAC